CCCCCUUCAGCCGCCAGAGUAGCCCCCUCAGUGGUAAAAGUUACAGGUGUCAACUACUGGAUUUAUCACACUGGAGUCAAAGCCUGGAAAGCUGUGGGAGCAACCCCUGACAGCCCAGAGGAACAUCCUGAAUAUCAAUGUGAAGAAAUAAGAUAUCUGAAGCUACAAAUCAUAAAAGAUAAGUGAGAGCUACUCAUCUUACUCAGUCCCACCUUUACCUCAGCAAAUACUUUGUCAUUUUUAUGUUUCUCUUUAGAUUUGCCACCAGAUAUUAGAACUUCUUUUUAAUGCAUUUUUGCAGAAAGAUUUUAGUUAUCCUUGGGAUUACAUUUAUAACUUCAUAGACCCCCAAAGAGAAAUUCUAUGUCUUGAAGCAAACUCCAAAUGGUGCUGCAGACAGAACCACCUACGGACACACCUUUCUUCUGAGGACCCAUAGAUCGACCCCAGGAGGAGCCCUAAGUGCUGUUCCCAGCACAACACUUCUUUUCAGCGGGAAGUAGCCAGAAAGAGUCGUCGUUUAACACCCCCUAAUGGCAGUUAGGGAUACCACUCUUGAGGAAUGUGUCACUAGUAGACAUAGUUAUAAAGACUUGCUAAAGGAAGUUUUUAAUAGACAAUCCCCAUUUGAGUUUUAUAUGUCAUACUUGAUACUUGAAACAAAAAUUAUAACAGCACUUGAUAUUCAAAGCAAUUAUAUUUAAAAGUGUAAAAAAUAAAAGGACUUAAAUGGGAGUAAUAUUUCCAUACUUCAAAGUCAUAUAUCAGUAGAAUGAGAUAUAUUGUAAUAUCCACAGCGACUACUACAAAAACUACAUACUUAAAGUGUGUACCUCUCUAAAAACACCAUAAGUAAAUCAAAAUGAAUUUUUUUUUUAAAAUGUUUAACCUACAGGAAGGCAAAAAAACAACAACAAAGAAACAGGAACAAAACCAGAGGAAGCAAACAGAAAAUAAUAAAAUAGCAUACUUAAGCUCUAAGGUAUCAAGAAUUGCCUUAAGUGUAAAUAAUAUGCAUACAGUGAUCAAAAGGCAGAGAUUGACAGUGUGUUAAGUAUGAGUAGUGGGGAGAAACAAAGAUUAUUUUAGAAAAUGACCUAACUAAAUUCUGUCUACAAAAACUCACUUCAAAUUCAAUGACAGGUAGGUCGAAAGUAAAAGAGUGAAAAAUGUAUAUUAUGCAAACAAUAAUCAAAAGAAAGCAGGAGUGGGUGUAUUAAAACUGGAAAAGGUGGCCAGGCGCGGUGGCUUACGCCUAUAAUCCCAGCACUUUAGGAGGCCAAGGUGGGUGGAUUGCCUGAGCUCAGGAGUUCACAACCGGCCUGGGCAACAUGGUGAAACCCCAUCUCUACUAAAAGACAAAAAAUUAGCUGGGCAUGGCAGUGUGCACCUGUAGUCCCAGCUACUCAGGAGACUGAGGCAGGAGAAUUGCUAGAACCUGGGAGGCGGAGGUUGCAGUGAGCUGAGAUCGCCGCACUGCACUCCAUUCUGGGCAACAGAGUGAGACUUGUCUCAAAAGAAAAAAAAUAAACUGGAAAAGGUAAACUUAUAAAGCAAAUAAAAUUACCAGAGACAGAAAGGAACAUUAAUUACAGAAAUCUGGGGCUGCCUGAGGGCCAUUAGCACAUGUGCUUAAGAAUAAAAAAGUCUACUUUAAGCUCAGAGCAGAGAAAGAUAUCCCUUCACAAAGUAGUGAGUCCAGCACUUUAUCUCUUGGUAAGAACAUGUUCCAGGCUCAAGACACAUUAUUUGGCAAAGCAGAGGUCCAAAGACUGCCUGCACAAAGUGCCUUUCCCAAUGAUAUCUAUAUACAAAAACAUGAACCAAACCAAAACAAUUUAGAGCUGACCUCACACAUGACACAACAUACAUGCCAGUGAAUCAAAGGGCUGUUGAAAUCAAAAUAAAGAUGUAGAGCUGAAUCUCUAAAUUUAAUGUUAAGAAAGAAUUGCAAUUUGAAGCAUACGUAUAGAUUGGGUGGUCUUUGGUAUGUCCAAAAAGCAGAAGGUUGGGAGUUUUAUAUUACUACAAAAGAGGAAUGUGACAUGUAUUCCAGAGAGAAAAUGUACUGUUUUUAGUAAAGCUUUGAUUUGACUCUCUUACCUGGGUCCAGCACUUAGGUGAUUUGGCUCUCUUACCUGGGUGCAAUGUUGCAGGGCCUAGGUUAUUUGACUUUCUACCUGGUCCUGGCUGACAGGUCGGAUUAUGACAUAUACAGGGGCCCAGCACCUGGGUGACUUCUACCUUGGCCAUGCCCAAAGGUGAGAUUGUGACAUAUACUUGGGCCUGGCACCUAGGUGAUUUUACCCUCAUACAUGGGCAAAGCCCACAGGGAAGAUGGUAACUCAUUUCUGAACCCAGCUCACUGGCCAUAUGAUGACUCUCAAACCUGGACCCAGCUAGUAGGAGAGAUUUUGAUUCUCAUACCUGGACUAGGAACACAGUUAAGAUCAUGAGUCUCAUAGCUAUAUGAAAGUAUCAGAGAAAAUUGUGAUUCACUUACCUACUAUAUAAAGCCCUCAAGUGGUACACAGUGUCAUAAUAGGGCCUACCUCAUAGGUCAGAGUGUAACUCUUCUAUGCACACCAAGCCAACAGCUAGUAUUGUCACACUCAUAUAUGCACACAGCCUGCUGCUGAGGUUUUUAAUCUCACAUCCAGAUGCAGUCAAAAGUUGCAAUUGUGACUCAUACAUGGAUCUGGUCCACAGGUGGAAUGGUGACUCAUUUCUGUACUAAGGCCACAGAGAGAAUUGUGACUCCCAUGCCUACUGUAUAAAGCUCUUGGGUGGUACAGAGAGUGUCAUAACAGGACCCAGCACACAGGUGAGAUUGUGACUCUGAUAUGCACAUCCAACAAACUCUUAGGACUGUCACCCUCACACAAGGACACAGCCUAUUCAGGUGAGGUUCUGAAUCUCACACCCAAACACAAUGGAAAGGCUGAUUUGACUCAUUUGGGCUGGAGGAAAUGGAAAUAACUUUUACCUCAUUUGCAUUUGUGACUUUUUCACAUAGAAAUAUUUACAAAUGGACAUUAUAGACAUUCAUAUAAUCAUGUAUGUGCAUAUGUGUAUGUGUUUAUGUACCUACCUACCUAUAUCUAUAUAUCUACCAAAACAGCCAAGCAGAAAAAAACCUAGGUUGGAAGUCAUUUUUCUGUCACUCCUCUUGAGCCCAGGUGAAUCAAUUCAGCCAGUUAGUUCAGUUAAAGUAAAUCAAAUCAGAGCCAUGCAUGGCUUCCCAAUUUUCUUGCACCUGUGAAAAUAUCCUCCCAACCUGGUACCCAAGUGUUUUAAAAUCAGGAGCUCAUCAAAUUAGCUCAGUGGGGUACUGGCCAGCCAGCUAAGACUGGGCAGAGCUGGCUGACACCAGUGGGUGUAGCAUUCAACACAAUAAUUCUUUGACUUGGCCAACACGUGUCACUUUUGGUACUUCAGUGACUGAUGAUUCUGGCCUG
rnacentral:lncRNA from 1 species